rnacentral:tRNA from 1 species
GGUGAGAUGGCCGAGCGGUCUAAGGCGCCAGACUAAGGUUGUCACCUGUAAUCUGGUCCUCACGGGCGUGGGUUCGAAUCCCACUCUCAUCA